UCAAUAAGCAUGUCCUUGGGUGAGAAUUUUUUAAAAAUUUCUUAUAGCACACCAAUUGUGCCUCCUAUGGCACACCUGUUAAAAAUUACUCAUCUAGAGGGAUGCUUUGGGAAUGAAAAGGGAGUAUGAGGUAGUACGUAAGAAAUUGUGCAAGAAGAAAAAUUCAGGGUUGACCAUCAGUUAGAUGGUAGAAGAGUGUCAAGGAGAAGGACCCAAAGGUAUAACUGAGAUUUUGAACCUGGAUAAGUAAGAAUGAUAAUGGAAUGGGAAAAUACUAAUUGAAGAAGUAUGUGUGUGUGUGUGUGUGUGUGUGUGUGUGUUUUCUUUAGAUGGAAGAGGAGUGAAAAUUGGAGGUAGGACUUGAUAUACUAGUUGCAAGUAACCAAUGCGCAGUUGGGAAAUAGGCUCUGGAGCUUGAGAAGGAGGUCAAGGUGAUGAAGAGAUUUCAGAGCUAGGAGAGAUGUGGAAAGAUUAUGGCAGUGUACCUGAUUUUGAAAAUGGAAUUAAUAUUGUUUCCUGGUGUAAGAAUUGCUUGCAGCCAGAAAUUCAUGUGUCCGUGUGUAUAUGUAAACACACAGUUAUGCACUGUGUAAUGUUGUUUAGGUCAAUGACAGACCACAUAUGCAAUAGUUCCAUGAGAUUAUAAUGGAGCUGAAAUAGCAAUGUUGUAGCUGUUACAACAUUGUAGUGCAUUACUCAUGUUUGUGGUGAUGCUUGAGUAAACGAAUUACUGCGCUAACAGUUGGUUAAAAGUAUAGCACAUACAAUUAUGAACAAUACAGGAUACUUGCUCAAGAUAAUAAAUGCCUGUUACUGGUUUAUUUAUUUACUGUACUUUUUAUGGUUAUUUUAGAAUGUACUCUCUACUUACAAAAAAGUUUGUGGUAAAAUAGUAUGUCUUGUUACACUGGCAACAGCCUUGUACAUCUUGUGUUUACUAAGUCUCUUGAUUGCAUCAUUUUCUCUUGUUCUUGAUUUAAUCUCAUGUUGUUUUAUACAGUAACAUGCUGUACAGGUUUGUAGCUUAAAAGCAAUGCCAUAUCGCCUAGGUGUGUAGUAGGCUAGACUGUCUAGAUUUAUGUAACAGCAUUCUGUGAUGUUCACACAACAACAAAGUUGCCUAGCAAGGCACUUCUCAGAAUGUAUGCCUGUCAUUAAGCAGCACAUGACCACAUAUCUUUAUCUAUCUGAGACCGUAUAUAUGUGUGUGUAUCUAUAUGUGUGUGUAUAUACACACACACACGGGUGCUUGUUCACCUCCACAGUGAAUGUACUUCUGGCAUUUCAUACUGGGAUGUUUUCUUUGAAGAAUGUUAAUAGUUCAGAUAUUCUCAACCUGUUGUUCAUGUUUUAGGAAUACUAUUGAUAACGAAAUGUGCAUUAAUAGGUACACAUUUUAUAAUUUGGUCUUAUCUGAUCUUUUACAUUAAGGAGCUGAUUGCAUCUCAUUCUUCCUUUUUCUCUUUUAAUCUGAGUGUUGCCUAAUUUAAAAGGAAAAUAAAAAGGUAGAACAAUACUCAAACAGAAUAUUUGCUUCUACUUGAGUCAUGAGUUUGCUUUGAUAAACUAAAAUAUAGCCUAAUAUAAAAUCUGACCUUUGGGAGCGGUGCAGUUGUUUAUUUUGUAAUAAGAUCUUAAGACUUAUGUGAAAGAUUAAGAAUCAAACACUAAACACUAUUUUAGGAUUUGGCCCCUAAAUCUUCAGAUCCGAUGUCUAAAAUUAGAUGUGCUUUACCCCCAUUCUUGUUUUCUGUUUAACUCAGGUGGUAGAGAAUUGGAAAGCACUUUUGUAAAAAAUAAAAAGGGAACAUUCAGUCCCAAGAGCUGUGUGUGAGAGUGUUGACUUCAGUGAAACUGAAAACAGAUGCAGGACUGUGUAGUUCAGUUUAACUUUGUAGAAUCAUAUCACUAGCAAAUAUAUACUCAGUGGGAGUGGUGAAGGAAGUAGAUAUUUCAUAAGAUAAGUUUCUCAGAAUACAGAGACCAAGUUCAGUUAGGAUUUGGUCAAAAUGAAGUUGAAUUUAAAGACCAAGAAUAUGGGUAAUUUUUUUCAAGAGCAAACUUUUUUCCAUUCAUUUGACCCAGAUGUUACACUUAAAAAUUUUUGUGAACAUCAUGCUAAGUAACUUUUAAAAGUAACUCAAGGAGUGCAGAACCAUCACUUAAUAACUUAAUUAUCUAUAAAUUGUUCACAAAAUCUAAAAUUGUGAGAACUUCCUUGGAUGUAGUUUUAUUAAAUAAAUAACAGUAAACUUUAAAUAGAGUGGAAAUUGCCCAUCUAUAUUCCUAUACUUCUAAAAUGCUUUUCCUAAUAAAAAAACACAUUGCAGUUUUUUUCUCUAAAAGAUGUAUAGGAUUCUCGUCUAAUACAAUUUGAUACUUUAUAGUUGGCCCAUUUAGGCAAGUUAAAGAAAAACUUGCUAUGUUUAUCUUAACACUGAAACAUUGAUUAUAUUUUUUCAGCUGGCUCUCCUCUUGAAGCAUUAGUGCCACGCCUUUGAAUGCAGGGCGGAACGUAUUUAAGCACAGCCCCCUCCCUUAAAGGCAGAUCUCUCUGCAGUGAAAGCAGUUGUGGAAGCAGGGACUGGUUCCAGGAUGGAGAGGAAUUGGGUAUCUUAAAGCAUUUGAAGACUAGUUGUGAGACAAAUGGAUUGAAGCAGUUUAAUGGGUAUGAGUAGCUCCUGGGAUCAGAAGAUUGUAUUAUCCAUAACAAUUAGUGUUGAUAACAGUUUGUUAGAAUACUGGACAGGUUCCUAAUUGUUAACAACUUGUAGUCCUGUCUUUGACACUGAUAAAGAAUGAAAGCAUUGAGGUUUCAUAGUACAUUUAAUUUUUCUGAGCAUAGAAAACUCUGGAUUGGUAAGAAGGUUUAAAAGCAAAAUUUAUUCCUUUUUUCUUUUUCUUUUUUUUUUUUUGUCAACUCCCCUUGUGAGUAUAGGAAAUAUUUUAAAUAAGUGACUUUCAAACUGAGGUAUAUCUAGGAAGGAGGAAGAGACCAGUUAAUUUGGAUAACGUGAAUUAAAUAAAUUUGCAGGUCUUCCAUACCUUCUCUUCCCUACAGUGGGUCUGCCUGAGAAAGUUACUUGCUGGAGAGGUUCAACCUCGUAUUUUCUCCUCCCACUUCCAGAGCACUGAAACAGAAGGGACACUUGGCAACUACUUUAGUAGUAUCAUACAUUUUUCACUAAAAGAUGUUUUUUCAGUAAUUGUUACCUGUUAUGUUUAUUAUUUAUCAAAAUUUAUAAUAAUACUAUGCCUUUAUGAUAAAUUGUAUAUCAGUAGUUAUUGUAAUAAUUCAGUCUAGAAGACAAGCAUUUAAUACUCAGGCAUUAAGGUCAUUGGAGAGUAAAAACAAAACUAAAUACACAUACAUACAUACAUAUGAUAGAUUGCAGUAUUAGAGGAUGAUCAAUGAGCAAGUUCCAAGCAUACAGGUAUAUCACAUUCCAAUAACAGUCUGGAGGAAAUGGAAUGAAAAUAAAAGUUCAAAGAGAAAAAGGGGGGGAUGUAAAAUUUCUGCUGUUAGAGUAUGUUCAUGCAAGUUUUAAAUAGAUGAUUCUAUAGAGAAUCAGUAGUAUUUUUAUUUAUUUGGAUACAUCUAAAAUAGUAAUAUUUUGUUUAUAUAAAGUUUACAUUAUGCAGGAAAUAUUAAAAUUUACAUGUUACUUUUGCAUCUAUUCAAACUUAAAGUGAAAGCUUUCGGGUAAAAUUUUCUUUGGACAAAGAUGUUCUAAAAUCUGACAUUUGAUCCUUUAGUCAGUGUUGAGCCACUUGACAUAUCAACCUAAAAAUAAACAAACGAAGGUACUGACUGAGUCUGGGACUCGCUGCGGCUCUUGGUAACGAUGGGCCUCUCCACAGCUUGCUGGUGGUCCUCUGUUUCAGUGAAUUCGAGCUUUGAAUAAGUAGGUUUUCUGUUAAGGAAGAUCUCAAGACAACAAAUCUGAACCAGGUACUUAGUUAAGGUUACUUAUUAUCCAGUCCUUGACAUUUAGUACUGGAAAAAUAAAUGUUAAGUUUAACACAGAUGGCAAACAAUCCCUAAUUGUGACAUCGCACAAAAAAAUUCUUAAAUUACUCAUAACUCAGUUAAUAUCCUUAAUUGUCUCGUGUCUUAGAUUAUUUUUAAAGUAAUUUUUAAACUAAAACUUGAAAUUGGUGAAUAAAGACUUUUCAACAUUCUAAAGUUAGGGUAGCUUUAUUGUUUUUGUCUUGCAAAGUCAAAGUUUACUACUCUUCUGAUACUGAUUGACUUCUGUGAGUUUAGAAACAGAUAGAUUAGGGACUAUAUCAAAACUCACUGACUGCCUUUUGGGAAGAGUUCAUUAUCAUUGGCUCAGAGGAAAUGUGCUUACUGUUACGAGAUUUCAUCGAGAAAGUUAUUUUGUAGACAUCUUUCUGUUAUUGAUUUCUGCUUAAUUUCAUCAUGUCAAAGAAUAUAUUUUGUAUGAUUUCAGUUCUUUUAAAUUUGUUAAGUUUGUUUUAUGACCUAGGAUAUGGCCUGUCUUGGUGAAUGUUCUAUGGGUACUUGAGAAAACUGUGUAUUCUGCUGUUGUUUGGUAGGUUAUACUAUAAAUGUCAUUAAGAUUUAGUUAGUUGAUGGUGUUUUGAAUUCUUUAUCCUUUUUUGUUUCUCAGUCUACUUGCUUUGUUGAUUACUGAGAGAGGAAUGUGAAGUCUGCAACCCUAAAUGUGGAUUUAUCCAUUUUUUCUUUUAGAACGAUCAGUUUUUGUUUAAGGUACUUUGAGAUUCUAUUGGUAGGUGCCCCAUUUAGGAUUAUGGCAUCUUGGUGAAUUGACCCUUUUAUCAUUACGUAAUUUUCCUCUUUAUCUCUGCCACUUUUUUUUUGCUAUGAAGUCUACUUUAUCUGAUAAUAAUAUACCCAAUCCAUCUUUUAAUUUGUGUUUAUAUAUCUUUUUUGUUCUUUUACUUUUUACUUACCUAUACCUUUAUAUUUAAAGUGAGUUUCUUGUAGACAGCAAGGGUCUUAUUUUUUCAUUCUGUCUGACAAUUUCUUUUAGUUGGCAUAAAUGUUUGCACCAUUUACGUUGAAUAUAAUUAUUGAUAUGUUUGGAUUUAGGUCUGCCAUUUUAUUAAUAUUUUUCUGUUUGACUGUUUUUUUAUUUCAUUGCUUCUAUUUCCUGCCUUCUAUUGGAUUGCCUGAAUGUUUAAUAGUUCAUUUUUUUCUAUAGUGUUUUUACUAUAUCUCUUUGUAGAGUGUAUUUUGGUAGUUGCUCUAAAAAUUACAAUCUACUUACAUAACUUUUCACAGUUCUACCUAGAAUUAAUGUUUUACCACUUCCGGGUAAACGUGCAGAUCUUACCUCCCCCCUUUGUGGUGUAGUUGUCAUGUGUGUUAUCUGUGUGUACACAGAAAACCCCACCAACCUGGGUUACGGUUUUUGCUUUCACUGUCAUACAUAUUUUAAAGAAUUUAAGAGGAGAAAAAUAGUUUAUUAUAUUUACCCAGAUAGUUACCAUUCCUUCUUUUUAAGUUCCUUGUUUGUUUGUUUGUUUGUUUGUGGUAUCAUUUCUCUUCUGCCUGAAGAUCAUUCUGUAGAAUUUCCUUUAAAGCAAGUCUAGAUUUUUUUUAGUUUUCCUUCGCUGAGAAUGUCUUCUUGUCUUCAUUCCCUGAAGGAUAUUUUCACUGGAUAUACAACUGGGCUCUGGGUUGAUGAUUCUGAUUCUUUUUUUCUUUCUUUCUUCCUUUAUUUAUUUUUAACAUUUUAUGCCUUCUGGCCUGCAUGGCCUCUGAUGAGAAAUUUACAGUCAUUUGAGUUGUUGUUCCCCUGUAUAACUGUAUCAUUUCUCUCUACUUUUAAUGUUUUUUUCCUUUAUCUUUAGUUUUCAGCAGUUUGAUUGCGAAGUAUCUAGGCAUGGAUUUCUUUGAGUUUACCCUGUUUGGGAUUUGCUAAGCUACUUGAAAUGGAAGUUUAUGUCUUUUGCCAAAUUUACGGAGUUUUCAGACAUUAUUACAAUAUUGUUUUGAGCAUGGCACACCUUUUUUUUCCUGCCAAGACUAAAGACAGGAAUGUUAGACCUUUUGGUAUUAUCUCUAAAACUCUGUUUUUUAUUUAAAUUUCUUUUUUUUCUGUUACUCAGAUGGGGUAAUUUCUAUUUAUCUAUCUUCAAGUUAACCCAUUCUUUUCCCUUGUCAUUUCUAUUCCUCUGUUGAACUCAUCCAAUAAAUUUUAAAAUUUUGGUUAUUGUAUUUUCACUUCUGAAACUUCCAUUUUAUUCUUUUUUAUGGCUCUGUUUCUUUUAUUUCAUUUCAAGAAAUGUUUAAUCUUCUUUAGAGCAUGGCUAUUAUAAUUGUUUUAAGGUUGUUCUGAUAAUUCCAACAUCUUCAUCAUCCUGGUGUUGGUAUCUAUUGAUUAUUUUUUCCUUUCAAGUUCACAUUUUGAUGGUUUUUGAAUGUCAAAUAAUUUUGGAUUAUAUCCUGGACAUUUUGAAUCUUAUGAGAUCUGAGCCUUGUUUAAAUAUUUUUUUAAAAAACAGUAUUUUUUUAUUUGACCUAGUAGUGAAUGGCACAGUUAGGUUUUGCGAGUUUUGACUCACCUUCUGUGGGCUGUGAUUUCAGUAUCAGUUCAGUUUUAGGAGGUUUUGCACUGCCCGUUCUGAUCUGUCCUGUGUGUGUACCACCCUGGCCCUGUUGGGACAUGGAUAGCGAGUGGUCUGUCCUGUAGUGCAUUGCUUUUGGUAUGUUGUUUAGAGUCACAUCCACACAUGUGCAUUUCAAGGUUGAGCUCAAGAGUUCAUAAAAACUUUGUAGGAUCCCUUUCUCAAGCCCUCUCCUCUCUAUAAUCUUGCUUAAGAGUCUGUGGUUUCCAAGAUCUGCCAAAAUAGUUGAUAAACACAUGAAAGGAUGUACAGUAUUAUUAGUUAUCAGGGAAAUGCAAAUUAAAAUCACAAUUAGAUACUGCUACACACCCACUAGUAUACUUAAAAACAAUAAAGCUGAUCAGUUGUUUGUGAGGUGAGUUGCAGAGCACCUGGAACAUUCAUACAUUGCUGUGGGAAUGUGAAACCGCCUCUUUGGAAAACAGUGUGUGAUCUUUGGGACUACUGACCUCUGAAUGUAUAAUAGUAGUUUCCUUUCUUGGAAUUAGGUCUUAUUUUUAAAAGACUCUGUCUUUCCUUAUCCCCAACUCUGGGAAUAUAUUCCUGUGAGUCAUUGAUUGGAGCCGGCUAGUUACAGUCCUUUUCAAGUCACUCUAAAAAGCUGAUAACAUAACACACUGUUACUGUAAACUUGGUGUUCCUAUUGCUCUUAGCCAGUAUUUCUUAAAUUGCUACUGAAGUAAAACAAUUAAGGCACAGACAAAAAAAUGCUAGGACUCAAGUCUGGUGAUAUUCGGGUUGUAAGUAGUCUACUUCAC